rnacentral:rRNA from 1 species
AGUGAACGCUGGCGGUAGGCCUAACACAUGCAAGUCGAACGGCAGCACAGUAAGAGCUUGCUCUUACGGGUGGCGAGUGGCGGACGGGUGAGGAAUACAUCGGAAUCUACUUUUUCGUGGGGGAUAACGUAGGGAAACUUACGCUAAUACCGCAUACGACCUACGGGUGAAAGCAGGGGAUCUUCGGACCUUGCGCGAUUGAAUGAGCCGAUGUCGGAUUAGCUAGUUGGCGGGGUAAAGGCCCACCAAGGCGACGAUCCGUAGCUGGUCUGAGAGGAUGAUCAGCCACACUGGAACUGAGACACGGUCCAGACUCCUACGGGAGGCAGCAGUGGGAAUAUUGGACAAUGGGCGCAAGCCUGAUCCAGCCAUACCGCGUGGGUGAAGAAGGCCUUCGGGUUGUAAAGCCCUCUUGUUGGGAAAGAAAAGCAGCAGGUUAAUACCCCGCUGUUCUGACGGUACCCAAAGAAUAAGCACCGGCUAACUUCGUG